GGGAACUAUCGUCCAGUACAUAACAAACUCAAAAUACUUUUCAAUUCAACAACUUCAGUCUCAAAAUUCAGCGGAUUUGAUCAUUCAAUACCUCAAUCCCAAUUUGAAUUUGCUGAUUAUGGAACAAUAGCUUCCCAUUGCUAUGACACUACUUAAUUGACUGGUAAUUUUAAUUGUUUUACAAGUCAAGCAUCUACUUUUACAGGCUAAAAAAUAAUGCAAUUCAUAACUUAAUACUGACUCUUAUCUAAAAAAAAAAAAAAAUAUGUUCUUACCAGAUGUGAUUGGCAUAUUGGACUACAUUGGAGCCAUUGAGGAGAUCAAAACAAGAGGGCGUCCAACAAAGAUGAGAAACAUUCAACUAUUGUUAGAAGAGUGACUAUCAACUAUCAUCCACUUUUGCAACAAAGUUGUAUGUCAAUUUAGACAUUCCAGAAGUUGCAGAAAUUAGAAACAAAUUUUGAAAUUAGAUGAGAAUAUUUUACCAAAAGAGAUUCAGAAAAUAAUUGGCAAUGAAUAUUUGUUCCAACUGCAUCUUGAUGAAUAUAAUUUGAAGUAUGGAAAAGAAAAUUACACAGUUUCGAAGAUUUUGGAGACGAAAAUUUCACAUAAGCAGAAUGACUCACGUAAAGUUGAAGAACAUCAGGUAAUUGAAGCAUACUUACUUCACUUUGCUUACUAUAUGAUUUAA